ensembl:lncRNA
GGAGAGCAGAAACCCCAUCAGCUUUUCAGGGGCGAUUCUAGCCCAGCACUGAUCACACGGCACCUUUCUGUUCCCAGGGCUGAGUCCCAGCAGCCAGGAGAUCUGCUCAGCUUCCGGUGCUCUCCCUGCCCCCACCCUCUACCUGAGCCAGAUGUCUGCCCGGCCGGUGGACUCUGUGAGGCUCCAGUGCUCCAUGAUCUCCCAUCUCCUGGCCUCCCGCAUUGUCUUCUGUCAGGAUGGGGAGGAGGUUUGGUCCCAGAGGGGCUUAUCUGGGAAACUCACCUACGACUAUGACCACGCAGUAUCUGGGGCAAGCUCCAGGAAUUACUCCUGUGCAUACGAGAUCAAGGACAGUGACAACCAGGUGAUCAGGUCCCAGCUCAGCCCUCCCCAGCACCUCAUCGGCACCAGUAAGGCCAAUGUGAGUGUGAGACCAUAUCCCAGCUCAGCCCUGCCCAGCAACUCAGCACCGUGGGAAGGACUGGAAAAUGUUACAAUAUUGGCAAUUACAAUUCCUGUUUCGGUGGGUGUGAUUUUGGCUCUUGUUCUGCCCCUGGUGUAUUACCUUAAGAAGAAGAAGAAAGGUAUGUAAACAUGGAAACCUCACAUUAUUCACAAAUGAACAGGUAUAGGAGGCAAACAAAGGACAUAAAAAAGAGAUUCCCACCUCACAUGGUGUUCUCAGACAUGGGAAACCUGAAGAAAAUAACAUUUAAAUAAUUGCCAUAUAGAAAAUCUGAACCUGAAAUGUGAACCCUUUCAGACAUUGAGGGUAAAGAGAGCAAAAUGGGGGUUAAACUCCAGCUCUGAACUUAAUCUUCUGAGGUCCUUUCCAGACCUAUGAUUCUAUCUAGACCAUCCAUGCAGGACCAUGUAAACCUAGAUGAUCCCUGGCAGAUGUUUAUCUAACCUCUUCUUAAAAUCCUCCGAUGAAGGGGCUUCCACUACUUAGCUAAAUAACCUAUUCCAGUGCUUGACUAUCCUUAGAGUUAGAAAGUUUUCCUAAUACCUAACCUUAAACCGCCCUUGCUGCAGAUUAAGACCAUUAAUUCAUGUUUUACUUAACAGACAUGGAGAACAAUUUAUCACCUCCUCUUCAUAACUUGUACCUAAAGUUUUGGUUUGAGAUAUAUUUUCUGGAUCUGAUUUGGAUUUGGUUUGACAUGGAAGAAAUCUUGCAAGAACAGCUGAUUUUGUGAGACUUGAAUGAUUUGAGAUCAAAAUCAUAUGACCCACAGCUUGUCAGAUUUCACCACUGACCCUGAGCCUAUACACUAGUCCAGGAUUGACCUUGAGUCUGAAUUUAGGAGCUGGUCAAUAUUUUUCAAAUUUCAAAAAUUGGAUGAAAAUCCAGAUUUUGAUAUUUGAAACAAACUAGAAAAACAUUCGUUAAGGGGCUUAUUCCUUCACCCUCUCACUUCCCUGGUCCUUCUCGCAUGAACAGAGAGCAACAAUACCUGAAGUCCAAAGGCGCAAACAAUUUGAUGUUUAUUAGGGUGAACUUCCAGCAAGCAUGAUUCCAGUUUCCUUCCUCAGUGUUCCCCUUCCCAGCUCUGACACCACAGAGCCAUCCCUGUUCCCAUUCCCCCCUU